AGUAAAGUAUACUAACUAAGCUCUUGGGCCCAUACCCCAACAAUGUGGGUUAAAACCCCUCCUUUACUU
rnacentral:tRNA from 1 species